rnacentral:lncRNA from 1 species
AUAUACAAAUAUAAAGUAUUUUUUUUAAGAUUAUUUAGAAUUAAAGGUAUAUUUUUAAGAUAAAAUAUAUAAUAUGAAUGAUAUAAAAGCUUAUGUUUGAUUUAUUAAGGUUUAUAAGAGAAUAUAAAAUAAAUAAUAUAUAAAAAUCAUAAAUUUGACCUGUAAUGAAGAAUGUGCGGUGAUAGGGUGAAGUUAGGAUACUUACAACAAAGUCAUCAUGACAUUUCUUUUAGAAUUGAUAAAGUUAUUUUAUUAAAAAGUUUAUAAUAUAUUUAAAAGCAAAUAUUUUAAAGUAAUAUAUAAUAAUCUAAUGAUUACUUCUAUUAGAAAGAAUUGAUUCAUAUCUAAAAAUUAACAAAAGAAAAAAAAUCUAUUUAUUAUUGAAGUAAGUCAUUUAGUAAAAGGUAUUACCUUAGGUAAGUUGUUAGUGGUCAAAAGGCAACAAAGAAUAUAAGGAAGUUACUAUGGUGGCUUCUAGGGUUUGUAGAUGGCAACUAGGGUUUGUAGGUAGCGGCUAGGUUAAG